UGUGUGUGUGUGUGUAUGUGAGGUUCCAACCGAAGAAACCAAAUGCUGAACUGCUUCCAAAACAUCUGCACAGGACAGACAGGAAGGUCUCCAGGCACAUGUGCUGGGGACGUGCACACACUACAGCAGUAUUGGACAUAAUGACAGGAGCAGACCUUCUCACCCUCUCACCUGAUCCACAUCUGACAAGGAGAAGCAGAGGACCAGG